rnacentral:rRNA from 1 species
UACGUAGGGUGCGAGCGUUGUCCGGAAUUAUUGGGCGUAAAGGGCUCGUAGGCGGUUUGUCGCGUCGGGAGUGAAAACCAGGUGCUUAACACCUGGCUUGCUUUCGAUACGGGCAGACUGGAGGUAUGCAGGGGAGAACGGAAUUCCUGGUGUAGCGGUGAAAUGCGCAGAUAUCAGGAGGAACACCGGUGGCGAAGGCGGUUCUCUGGGCAUGUCCUGACGCUGAGGAGCGAAAGUGUGGGGAGCGAACAGG